GCUUUAUGGCUGUUGGAUAUUUAUGUCCCCAAACUUGCAGCAAGUUUGGUGAAGGCCCCUAAAUUUAAUUAAACUUAGGGUUUUUAUAUUCCUUUGGCAGAGGAGGCUCUAUAUUAAUAUUCACGUUUGACUGUGGUGUUAAUAAGCAUAAAUAAUAAGUAUUGUUUUAUUACAUAAUAUUUAAAGCUUUAUGAACCUUUGUAAAUUCAUCAUUUUACAUUCUUGAUUUGGAGGCCUGAUAUGCUUUAUUCAAAUUUUUACUUUGACCUCUAGGAAAAUCAUUGGUGUUUUUUUUUUUUUACUUAAAUUUAGCCUCAAGGAUAAGUUUAAUGAUUUGAAUUGCCACAGGACACUGAAGUUUGUUCUAAAUCCCAAGCUUCUAUUGAACAUCAAGGUGGCACAUGAGGAAGGAAGCUGCUGUGCAGUUACUAAAAUGUGAGUAUAAAUAAUAGGUCCAUUGAAUGUUCUCAAACCCUUAGUUCUUGGACCAAAUAUAGGUCUAGAUUUAGUGAUCUUGGUUGUAAUAAAGGUGUAAUGCUGCUCCUUUAUUAUUUGGUUGUUCUUGACCUAUGUAGAUACCUCCUAUAUAAAAGAGAGGGGAAAUAUUUUGAUUAGUGGUAAUGCAAGGCUUCAGAUCCACUGCUUUACUCUAUGGUGGUUUUUAGUUACCCUUUCUACAGUAUGAGUCAACCUAUAAUGUUUUAAAUAUUAUAGUAAUACUUGUAAAUAAUUUAUGUGUCUCUGUAAGCUAUAAAUUAUAUUAGUGUGCCACUUCAUCACGGCCAUGGAAGCUCACUGCACAUUCAGAAUCCUGCACAGUUAUAUACAUCUUUAAUCCCAGAACUCUGUAGGCAGAGGUAGAAAUAGUAUCAGAGUAGGCUGUGUGAUGAUUCCCUGUCUUUUUUAAAACAAAAAAAGUAAUUAUUUGAAGAUGAGGAAGUCAUGCACAUCUCGCUUGAGAUUUAACCAUUAAAAUAAGUCAGAUGGUGACUAGCCGGCCUAAGAUUGGAUCAUUAUUAUUUUAUUUGGGAAUAAUAAGAUUUGUUUAAAUUUUUAAUGAUCUACAUCUAGCAGCUAGUAGUAAAAAUGUAUUCUGUGAGUUUUCCCACUUUGUUUUUUGAUUGUAAAAUUGCCUGAGGGCUUAAGUUUUAUUGCCUUUCACAGUUUAUAAGAAUGGCGUAGAUACAGUGGAAAUGGUUUUCCUUAAAACCAUCUCUUUAGAGCUGCCUUUCUGGUGAGUACUGCUUUAUAAUUUUUGUAUCACAGUUUUAUUUUUUUUAAGCUAGCUGGAAGGUGACAGUGAUUGAAAUGAGCAGCCAGAAUUUUCAAAGCCUGGAUCAGAACCUUAAGGUGACAGUUACUGCCUGAUAUUUCCCUGUGUUCCCUAUUUGGAUUCUCUCGUCUUUUUUUUUUUUUUUUUCCUUUUUUCCCCCUCAUUUUCCUAAAGGAUUGUGUUGUGUGCACAUAAACAUUGAACAUAGAUUAUUUCCUUUGGUGAGGAAAAAUAAUUAUUUUAUUUAGAAAUUAAUGUUUAAGAAAAUGUAGGAACAGGAGAGAUGGUUCAGUAGUUAGACCAUAUAUUCCAGGUAUGGUGGCAUACACUCUGGAGGCAGAGGGAAGUGGCUCCCUGAGCUCCAGGACAACCAAGGUUGUGUAGAGGAGUCUUGCCCCUGCCCCCUCUGAAUGAAAGAAAUGUGCCAUACAUUUGUUAUAAUCUGAGUUAAGAUUCCCAGUAUCCAUGUCAUGUGGCUCACAACCACCUAGCUCCUUCAGGAUCUGACACCUUGGGCUUUUGUGCUCAUGUACAUAAAACACAUGCACAUAAUUAAUAAAUGCAUAUUUUUUUAAAACCAAAAAUUAUCUUUUUGCUAAAGUGCUCAUUUCUCACUGCAUAGGUUAAUGAAAUAAUACUUUGGUAUUCUCUUCUUGAGUACAUGAGCAUUUUGAUCCUGGGUGGAAAACUUGGGUUAUGAAUACAGACUUCUAGCAUUUGUCUGCCUGUGAAAGUUAGCUUAUAAAUAUAUUUAUUACUGUUUUGUUUAGUGAUUAGCCUGUAACAUAAGGAUUUCUUUCCCUGUAGGUUUUUUUUUUUUUUAGCUAAAUUCUACAUAAUGCAGGUAUAUUUGUAUAUACAUUGUAUUUCUGUUAUGACCUUUGUGAAUAAAUCUACCUUUUCCCUUAGUAUAGACAGUAUUUGUUUUCUAAAAUCUGAAAUGUAUAAUCUGAGUGUGUAUGGCAAUGUAUUCUAGAUGAGCUCUCAACAAAAUUUUGAGCCUAAAUUUGUGUCUUUAGAUUUAAAGUGAAAUAAAUUUCUAAGGAACUCUGUCCUUUCCUAGCAUGGAUAAGCAGACAGUGACAGUUGGUAAGUAUGUAACUUCAAAUGCAUGUAGUGGUGGGAAAGGUGAGCUCCCAAACUGUACUCCAGGAUGAUCAGAAGUGAGUCACAUGUGUAUACCUAACGUUUUCUAUGUAUUCAGAUGAUUAAACUGAAAUCUACCUUACAUGUCUGAUUUGGGUUUUGUUUGUUAUUUUUUAGGAGAUUUUUGUAUCUAGUAUAAAAUCUAAUUUUAUAUUUAAAACUGUCCUCGGUGUAUUAAUAAGUGGCUCUUCUUCUGACAACCCAGUGUUGACCCAGAGUUUACUUAACACUUUUGCUUUUCAUUUCCAUUUAUAACUAAGCAAAAUAUGGUGGCAAAGGGAGAGGACCACUUUAAUUUCUGUAAUAGGAAAUCAGUGCAUAAUUAAGGUUUAUUUUUAUUUAUGUGACUGUGGUGCAUGUGGAGUUUUCUCUUGAGGCCAGAAGAAAUUUGUCUGAUUUUAAGAGUGAAGUGGAGCUUCAGACACUUGUAACCCACCGCUGAGCACUGUUCAUCCCUGAGCCUGUGCGGGGAGCCAUCUCAACCCUCUGGUGUUCUGUUGGUAACAGAAGUAAGACAGUCUCCAGGUUUACUCCUGACAAGUGUCAGUUGGAUUUGGAGAAAACGAAGAGCUAAAUCAUGUGGGGGAUAUGAUUAUAUGGAGGAUCUGAGCAUAGCACCAGAAGGAAGAAUACUUUGCUAGCCUGUGUAUGGUUAAAUGGUACAUGAGCAGAAAUCUUGACGAAUGUCAUUUUUUAUAUAACUAAGUCUGCUAAAGGUAAUUAUAUGCUAGCCUUUAAUUCAUUAACAUUGGAAACUUGUGAUACCUGAAUUUGGUCAAGUUUAUUUUAAAAUAAAAAUUUCCCACACAAAUAAUAGUGUAUGUGAUACUUUGAUGUGUCUCUCUCCUGGCUCAGGAACAUUAAAGUUUGUUCUUCCCUAACCCAAAUACAUCACUUCGUGUGUGCAUGCCUAUACACGCACACAUAAACUCUCUGUCCCACAGAUUUGCACAAUCCAACAAAAAUCCCACAAAUCCAACCAGAUUUGCACUGAAUAAGGUCUCUGUAUCCUUGGUGUUAAUAGAAUUUGAUAUGUGUGUCCUGCUGUCCUGGAAACCCCA